CUCAUUGUAUAAUCUUCUUCCCAAGAAGAACCUUACCCUUGAGAUCUUAGACCAACACCUUGAUCUGGACUGCGUGAUCAACUCCUUGAUCUGCAAUCUUCUUCUUCUUCUCUUUGAUCUUCACUCUUGAAAACAAAACAACAUCACCUCUUAGCAUGUGGAAAGGGGAUGCCAACUCUUGGGCAUGGAAGAGAAGAGAGGGAGGAGAGGAGGCGUGG
rnacentral:lncRNA from 1 species